rnacentral:lncRNA from 1 species
GUGUGCAACAUGAUGGAUCAGUUAUAUAUACACACACACAUACGUACGUGUGUGUGUGUGUGCGUGUGUGUGAAACCACCUCACAGAUGAGUAUAUAGAACUUUCCAACAUUCCCAGUGAUUUCUCUCUUUCUCCUUCCUGGUCCCUAUCCUGCUCACUGAGGUAACCACUACUCUAACUUCUAACAUCAUUGAUUGUUUUUGUCAAUUCUUGAAUUUCAUAUGAAUCAAAUGACAUAUUAUCCAGUUAUACUCUUUCAUGUCUGGAUUUUUCCCUGCUUAACAUGAAGUCUAAGAGAUUCACUCAGGUUGCUAAGGAGAUGUUUCUUCUAUGUCACUAUAGUUACCCAAUUGACUCUGCACACCUUAUUGAAAAGAUCAUCUGUUCCCAAGCUGUCAUCUUUCUUACGAACACCAAAAUGCUCCAAAGGAUAUCUGCUCUGCUUGUCUUCCCGCAUGAGAGAGUGCAGAUGUUCCCAAAAGCAUCUUUGCAGGAUUUACUUGAAGCAGGAUGCUGA